UGGACCAGCCAGCAGGUGGGCCAGUGG
rnacentral:piRNA from 1 species